rnacentral:rRNA from 1 species
AUACGGAGGGUGCAAGCGUUAUGCGGAAUCACUGGGCGUAAAGGACGCGUAGGCGGGUUGGCAAGUCAGAUGUGAAAUCCUACAGCUUAACUGUAGAACUGCAUUUGAAACUGCUAACCUAGAGUAUGGGAGGGGGAGAUGGAAUUAGUGGUGUAGGGGUAAAAUCCGUAGAUAUCACUAGGAAUACCGAAAGCGAAGGCGAUCUCCUGGAACAUAACUGACGCUAAGGCGUGAAAGCGUGGGGAGCAAACAGGAUUAGAAACCCUAGUAGUCC